rnacentral:rRNA from 1 species
UACGGGGGGGGCAAGCGUUGUUCGGAAUUACUGGGCGUAAAGGGCGCGUAGGCGGCCAUCUAAGUCAGACGUGAAAUCCCUCGGCUCAACCGAGGAACUGCGUCUGAUACUGGAAGGCUUGAAUCCGGGAGAGGGAUGUGGAAUUCCAGGUGUAGCGGUGAAAUGCGUAGAUAUCUGGAGGAACACCGGUGGCGAAGGCGGAUCUCUGGGCCGAUACUGACGCUGAGGAGCGAAAGCGUGGGGAGCGAACAGG